AUGAGGAGCAGCAGCAGCAGCGCCGGCUGGGCGCCCAGGAGGAGGCCGAUGAGCGACCUCAUCGGCGCCAGCGACGACCUCUCCCGCUUCUCCGUCGCCACCACCACGGCCUCGUCCGAGCGGUCCGCGGGUGGCCGCGGGGCAGCGGCCUUCCGCUCCUGCUUCGCCCCCGCGGACGCGCGCUCGCCAGAGACCUCCCUCUCCGACGUCGACCUCGACGCCUCCCACCAACAUCAGCCAGUCAUCCACAGGGACAUACAUGGUGGGUUGCGAGCAUACGCCAGCACUCUUGGUUGA
rnacentral:rRNA from 1 species